UACGUAGGGUGCGAGCGUUAAUCGGAAUUACUGGGCGUAAAGCGUGCGCAGGCGGUUCGUGAUGUCUGAUGUGAAAGCCCCGGGCUCAACCUGGGAACUGCAUUGGAAACUAGCGGGCUGGAGUGUGGCAGAGGGGGGUGGAAUUCCACGUGUAGCAGUGAAAUGCGUAGAUAUGUGGAGGAACACCGAUGGCGAAGGCAGCCCCCUGGGUCAAAACUGACGCUCAUGCACGAAAGCGUGGGGAGCAAACAGG
rnacentral:rRNA from 1 species